rnacentral:misc_RNA from 1 species
GGUUCAUUGCAGCAUACUCAUUAGCCUUAUAAAACACACCGACGAUCUUCUUGCUCCCUGCAGAAGCAUGAAGAUGCCUGACGAGAGGUGAUGACUUAGAGGUUACAGAGGAGGAAAGAGCUCGAAUCGCUGCUGUAGCAGCCUGCUUCAUCGCCAUGAUCGUCGUCUAUUGAAUCUCUGAGAAAGUUAAUGAGAGACUCGUGAACGAUGCAGAUGAAAACGAUGAUGAUGGGUUGAGUGUGUGG